rnacentral:rRNA from 1 species
AGUGAACGCUGGCGGUAGGCCUAACACAUGCAAGUCGAACGGCAGCACAUUAAGAGCUUGCUCUUACGGGUGGCGAGUGGCGGACGGGUGAGGAAUACAUCGGAAUCUACUUUUUCUUGGGGGAUAACGUAGGGAAACUUACGCUAAUACCGCAUACGACCUACGGGUGAAAGCAGGGGAUCUUCGGACCUUGCGCGAUUGAAUGAGCCGAUGUCGGAUUAGCUAGUUGGCGGGGUAAAGGCCCACCAAGGCGACGAUCCGUAGCUGGUCUGAGAGGAUGAUCAGCCACACUGGAACUGAGACACGGUCCAGACUCCUACGGGAGGCAGCAGUGGGGAAUAUUGGACAAUGGGCGCAAGCCUGAUCCAGCCAUACCGCGUGGGUGAAGAAGGCCUUCGGGUUGUAAAGCCCUUUUGUUGGGAAAGAAAAGCAGCAGGUUAAUACCCCGCUGUUCUGACGGUACCCAAAGAAUAAGCACCGGCUAACUUCGUG